GCAGUUCAACUAAUUUAAUCAACACCUGCCAGCCAAUCAGAAUCCAGUAUUCAGACAGACCAUGGCAUAAAGCGGUAUGUUCUUAUUGUUACCAGCUUCUGCGAGCGUGUAUGGCGUCUGGCUUCAGAACCUCACUGUGACUUCGGAUAAGAACAAAGAUUAAAUUGUAAGAAGGGUUGCUUAUAAAAGCAUACAGUACAUCUGAAACUGCUGAGACUGGUGAUAUAUUUCCGACCAGAUCAGCUGCUAUAGAAGACAAACUGAAAUCUGAGUGCAGAGACAAGCAAAGGAAUACUGCAAGACACUACUGACUAGGCUGUGCCCAGGUCUCUGGAACCUGCGACGACGCUCAGCUCCAUCGGCCCUUAGUCUGCGGCUUCGGAUCCACCAGCUCUGUCUCCAUCGGUCGGCCCCCAGAUGUCGGCAGCCACACCUUCUACAUCUUGGCUCCUCCCUCCCUCGACUCCGCCGUGUGUUGUCAGCACUGCUCUGGGUCUGUACCAACACACCUCCAUCCCUCAAAUGGAUAAGAUGGCUCUUCCAUAGCAUUUCAGUCUUUUUUUCAUUUAUGUUUUUUGUGUAAUGUUUUAAAAUGUACUUGAGUAUGUUUGUAGUAAUACAAAAACACUAUAAACGUACUUGUAUUUCAAGUGAAUUUUUAAUACAUUUAAUAGUAUGUUUUUUUUCACCAAAGUAUAUAUG